UGACAUAUGGUAAUUUGAUGUCUUUCUGUUUAUUUUUAUAGUUUUACGAGAAAAAAGAAUGAGCAACAAUGUAAUGAGUGAAAGAACUGGACAGGCAUGUUUUAUGGACCAGUAAAAUUCAUUGAAGAAACGUUCUGGAGCUUUAUUCAUUCCACAUUCUUCAGUUAGCUAUCUGUCUGCGCCUUGCAAGGACGCAAUUGCUAGGACAGAAUACAAGUCUUGCUGGCAAGGCCAGUCCCA